rnacentral:rRNA from 1 species
GGGGAAUAUUGGACAAUGGGGGGAACCCUGAUCCAGCCAUGCCGCGUGUGUGAAGAAGGCCUUUUGGUUGUAAAGCACUUUAAGCGAGGAGGAGGCUACUGGUACUAAUACUACCAGUUAGUGGACGUUACUCGCAGAAUAAGCACCGGCUAACUCUGUGCCAGCAGCCGCGGUAAUACAGAGGGUGCGAGCGUUAAUCGGAUUUACUGGGCGUAAAGCGUGCGUAGGUGGCUUUUUAAGUCAAAUGUGAAAUCCCCGAGCUUAACUUGGGAAUUGCAUUCGAUACUGGGAGGCUAGAGUAUGGGAGAGGAUGGUAGAAUUCCAGGUGUAGCGGUGAAAUGCGUAGAGAUCUGGAGGAAUACCGAUGGCGAAGGCAGCCAUCUGGCCUAAUACUGACACUGAGGUACGAAAGCAUGGGGAGCAAAC